UAUAAAUAUUUGGAAUUCAUUACUCAUCUAGCUUUCAGAUUUUUAAAUGUUACAAUAUUGAUAGAUGUUAAAUAUGUUUGAUCUACAUUACAGUAGGUAUUAUUAUUUAUGUUCGCGACAUUAUUUGUAUAUAUGUAAUCGUAGAGAUAAUUUAUAGUUGUUAAGUCCGUAGUUUUAAUCGUUUUUGUAUACUGUUAUUUUACAUAGAUUUUACAUAGAUUUAAGAUACCUAUAGUGUAAGUUAAAUAAAGCAUUCUUUGUGUGUUGUUAUUAUUACCUGCGAAUAGAAAUAGAAAUUGUAAAACAAAUAGAAAUACGCAAAUUGUAAUAAAUAAAUAGACGCUAUAUGGUACCGUUCUAAAGAGAUACGCGUCUCUUUCACUCUCGCCCCGUCCCGCUCGCACAGACUCGCUAACGCGAGUUAGAAAUGUUAUCGUGCGACCGGGCGGGUAUAAAGAUAGGCCGCCUCCCGUCGAGCGGCAUUCGCUUCCGAGCAGCGACGCACUACACUCGAGAAGAAAUAGGACAAGAAGAAAAAUACUCUCUUCAGACGGUACCGGAGGCUUCAGAAUAGUAAUCGCUGCGUUUCACUCCAGCCUGAACCAACGCCCCUACAGUCCACGCUCACCGUUCAACGACUCAGCUAAGAAAUAUCAGCCAUUUUAAUAAUUAAAAUUAAUAAUAGAAAUGGUGAAAAUUAUAAAAUUCUUUUUGAAAAUUGACAGAUAAUAAAUACCGACGUUGCCACAUUUCGCCAAGCUAAAGUUAUGAAUACUGUUAAUUCUAAAAAAGUAAUUAUUUAAGACUAGCUCCUUAAAGGGUUUUUUCGUAAACAUAUGUACGCAAUGAGCAAAGAUAAAGACCUUCUAUGCAAGAACAUAGAGAUGUUCUACGCAAGUUCAUAAAAUGAAAGCGAUAAACUGUAUCUAAUAAUUAUUCACUUAACCAAUUUCAAAUUGGUUUAAAAUUUAAAUCCAUUUAGUUAAUUUCUAAAAUAAAUAGUUAAUAGUUACAUUUUUUCAUCAAUAUGCACUCCUAAUUUAAAAAAAAAAAAAAUUCAAUAUACAGACUACAGUUCAGAAUACUAUUAUAUAGACCUACUUAUAAAUUAAAACAUCAAUACUAACAAAAUUAACUCUCUGUCUGUAUGUUGCUUGAACCUGGAUCCAGUGUUGUGGGGUUGCUGGAGGUGUGGGAUGGGCACCAUUAAAGCAAACACAUAAUGAUACUUGGUGCUCAGCAAGAGCCUGUGCUAAUGUAGUCAAAAAUUGAACGCAUCGAGCCCAUUGUCCUCCACAUGCCCAAUCUAUAAAAAUAAAAAAGGUAUUUUAAUUGUUUACAAAAUAGUCACGAUCAUUAUAAUCAGGAUUCAAAUUUUAAAUUGGAUUCCAUAUUGAAUAAAAUGGGUCUAUUAUUCAUAUGAUACAUUAUUUUAGAUAUUAAACAUGCCUGCUUAAUACAUUAAACGCAUCCAAAAGAGCAAUCAAUCCCUCAAAGUCCAUAAUAAAUUUUCAAAGCCAAUAUCUUGAGAGGUAUGACAUAUUUUUUUUUUAUUUCAAUUACAAAAGAAUUAUACUCUUAUUCAUAUAUAGUAAAACCUUAUACAAACCUAACCAAUUUUGUACUUUUAUAAUAAUAAAAAACCUGUUAUUAGCCUUAAUAUUUUAAAUACUAGUAUGUAGAUCUUAACUGUAACGCCUUUGGUUUCUAAUAAAUAAAAACCUAUUUUAAAGAUUACACUGUAUUGCCACUUUUUUGAGAAAUUAACACAAAAGAGACAAAACAGUUCAAUAACUAAAAGAGAUUUAUAAGAGGUUUGUCGUUUUUAUAAGGAGGUAUUUAGAAUUUUUUUUUUUUGUUGAUCACUUUAUUUGACUUGUUUCGAAAUCUACAAAAUACAGAUAAUUACUUAAAAGGAUUAAUAAUUAAAGCUAUGCCAUACCUUAUACAGUUAAGUAAGUGUACCAAAUGUUAUCAAUAUUGUAAUAAAUAUUGUGUAUGUCAACCUUCCCCAAAUAAAUGUAAAUAGCAUUUUCGUAAUAAAAAGUUACAUACCUA